rnacentral:rRNA from 1 species
UCAUUACAAUAGCCGUUGUUUCUUGGAUCCUCAAUUUACUUGGAUACCUGUGGUAAUUCUAGAGCUAAUACAUGCGACUAAGGGCCGAACUCACGUGACGCUUGCAUUUAUUAGAUCAAGACUAACCGGCUUCGGCCGUUAACUUGGUGACUCUGAAUAACUCAGCUGAUCGCACGGUCUAGUGCCGGCGACAUAUCUUUCAAGUGUCUACCUUAUCAACUGUCGAUGGUAGUUUAUGUGACUACCAUGGUUGUAACGGGUAACGGAGAAUCAGGGUUUGACUCCGGAGAGGGAGCCUGAGAAACGGCUACCACUUCUAAGGAAGGCAGCAGGCGCGCAAAUUACACAAUCUCAGCACGAGGAUGUAGUGACGAAACAUACCGAGGCGAUGCCCUUUCGGGUGUCGUCAUUGGAAUGAGUCGAAUCUAAAAAAUUCGGCAAGGAUCUAGUGGAGGGCAAGUCUGGUGCCAGCAGCCGCGGUAAUUCCAGCUCCGCAAGUGUAUAUCUAUGCUGUUGCGGUUAAAAAGCUCGUAGUUUGAUUCGCGUACUUAGCACGCAGUGUGGCCUUUCGGCUACUACUGUGAUGCGGUACAUUAUCGUCAGUUUGUCGUUGAUGCUCUUCAUUGGGUGUCAGCGGCGGCUGUCAAGUUUACUUUGAACAAAUUAAAGUGCUCAAUACAGGCGUUUCGCUUGUAUAGUUCUGCAUGGAAUAAUAGAAUAGGACUUACGUUCUAUUGUGUUGGUUUUCAGAACGAAAGUAAUGAUUAAGAGGGACAGACGGGGUCAUUCGUACUGCCACGUUAGAGGUGAAAUUCUUGGAUCGUGGCAAGACGAACUACUGCGAAAGCAUUUGACAAGAAUGUUUUCAUUAAUCAAGAACGAAAGUUAUGGGUUCGA